CGGCAACACGUCCUACGGGAGGCAGCAGUGGGGAAUAUUGCACAAUGGGGGAAACCCUGAUGCAGCCAUGCCGCGUGUGUGAAGAAGGCCUUCGGGUUGUAAAGCACUUUCAGUAGGGAGGAAGGUAGUGUAGUUAACACCUGCACUAUUUGACGUUACCUACAGAAGAAGCACCGGCUAACUCCGUGCCAGCAGCCGCGGUAAUACGGAGGGUGCGAGCGUUAAUCGGAAUUACUGGGCGUAAAGCGCAUGCAGGCGGCCUGUUAAGUCAGAUGUGAAAGCCCGGGGCUUAACCUCGGAAUUGCAUUUUGAAACUGGCAGGCUAGAGUCUUGUAGAGGGGGUAGAAUUUCAGGUGUAGCGGUGAAAUGCGUAGAGAUCUGAAGGAAUACCAGUGGCGAAGGCGGCCCCCCUGGACAAAGACUGACGCUCAGAUGCGAAAGCGUGGGGAGCAAACAGGAUUAGAUACCCCUGGUAG
rnacentral:rRNA from 1 species